rnacentral:lncRNA from 1 species
AUCACGUGACACCGGCAGAAUCUUUCUGUGGAUCAGACGCCAUGUUCUUUUUAACCUCAAUCUUUAAUUGUUGGAUGGUUUGUUUUGAUAUUGGUUGUCAGAUUUCGGAUUGCUACUAUUAUACUGUGAAAUUAAUUUGCAGUGGAAAAUUGAGGUAUAAAAUAUUUCUAUUGGUUUCUUUAUUCUUAUAAUUUUUACAAGAGAAAUUGAAAAUGGAUUUACAACAGAAAGGCGUGAAAUUUUCGAAGUUCAAAGUUUUGUACUUUCCAGACCUGCACAACGAAUUACCUAUUUGAAAAAUAGAAUAUGGUUAGAAAUUGCUGAUGUAAUAGAGGAUUCAAGUACCAUUUACAAACAAAAUAUUGAAGAGAAUGUGCUCAAAGGAAAUGCAUAUGAAUUCUUUUUUGUUGACCAGGAUGGAACAAUUCUUUGGAACCUAUACUUAGAAUAAGUUAGUUAGGCCUAGUGAUGUACCAGCCAGAAGUAGAGGAUGACAAAGAAAAUCAACUAUGAAUAAUAUUCCAUGGAUAUGAUUCAUGUAUGAUGUAGUAGCCUACAGAAGAAAGAGAUGGAC